GUGAACGCUGGCGGUAGGCCUAACACAUGCAAGUCGAACGGCAGCACAGUAAGAUCUUGCUCUUACGGGUGGCGAGUGGCGGACGGGUGAGGAAUACAUCGGAAUCUACUUUUUCGUGGGGGAUAACGUAGGGAAACUUACGCUAAUACCGCAUACGACCUACGGGUGAAAGCAGGGGAUCUUCGGACCUUGCGCGAUUGAAUGAGCCGAUGUCGGAUUAGCUAGUUGGCGGGGUAAAGGCCCACCAAGGCGACGAUCCGUAGCUGGUCUGAGAGGAUGAUCAGCCACACUGGAACUGAGACACGGUCCAGACUCCUACGGGAGGCAGCAGUGGGGAAUAUUGGACAAUGGGCGCAAGCCUGAUCCAGCCAUACCGCGUGGGUGAAGAAGGCCUUCGGGUUGUAAAGCCCUUUUGUUGGGAAAGAAAAGCAGCAGGUUAAUACCCCGCUGUUCUGACGGUACCCAAAGAAUAAGCACCGGCUAACUUCGUG
rnacentral:rRNA from 1 species